GUUGUGGAGAAGGAGAAGUUCAGCGCUUGUUGGUUUUUUGCUUGUCUGUUUGCUUCGGGAUUAUGAUCUGAGCCUGGAGGUGUAGCAGCCAAAUCCGUGGGGAAGAGACAUCAGAGAGGACAACCGGACAUUACUUCCAAGGAAGAUGAGCGUUACUACAUAAUGGUUGGACACUUGAGAGGGUCCUGAAGCCUGAUGUGACCGCUGCCCGGACUGAGCAUGGAGCAUGAGCUGAGUAUGGGUCUGUCUCUUUGGGCUAUCGUGGCCAUUGUUUGUAACUCCGUAGUGGGCCUGCUCAUCCUCAUCCUCUUCGUGGUCCUCUACAAAGCCUGCAAGGUGCCUUCACAUCAAGACAAAAUGCCAGUUUUUGCUGUCAGACUGGAUCAGACAAGGGCAGAGGAGAAGUACAUGCUGACUGCAGCCUGACCGAGGCCCUGAAAAUAUGAACUUGAUACAAGGACAAACGUCAAGCUAGGAUGGUAGAGGUGGAGAAGUCUUCCCAAGCUUUUCUGUUUCCUCUCUCUCCAUUUGUGCCACAAAACCGUGUACAAUGCACCACCAUCAUCCCCAUCUCGUCUGUGCCAUUCGGGGGAGCUCAGAGUAAGCUAACUGAGUUAAGAUUUGAGGCAAGACCAAAAGCAACAACAACAAGCAAGACUCAAAUCCUCUUAUCUCUGCUGUGCGUCGCUGGGACUGUCCAUCUGUCAGUCAGUUUGGCUCGCUCCACACAAGCAGAUCGCCAUCUCCUCCUCCUCUACGCCAGUCUUUUUCAUCUCGUCACGCAGGACGGCGGCGAGGAUGUGGAGGCGAAACAGCGAAAGUGCAAUGAAGUGGAAUAGAGGAGCUGGGGUUGAUAAGGCUGGCUGGUUGAAAGGCAAUGAAAUUUUUUGAGAGUGAACGCUAAAAAUGUGACUCCCCAGUCAGUUUUGCUGUUUAUUUUGGCUGCACCGCUAAUGAUGGAAGCAACAGAGCAGCAAAUGCACAACAGGUAGAGACCCACGGCUUAAAGUAGAAGACAGGGAGCACAGAGACGUUGCUGCAAGUCGCCUCUGAUCCACGACAGAUGGAGAUAAAGUUUGGUUUAUAUUUUGGAGGAAAGGAGAUAAAAUUCAGGGGAAGAAUUGGAAAUAGGACACUUUGAUGUUUUGUUGACGGAAAAAGGAGCUCGAGGGCCCUGUUUGACAGUCUCUCCCUGAUCCAACCCCCACUGGAUUAAAAUCCUCUGCAGAAAUGUAACUUACAACACCUUUUCUUUUGUUCUGCUGUGCCUUCCUCUUUUUUCUACCCCAGCUCCGAUGAAGACGGAGAAAUAGUCUUACAGACAGGCAUCAUCAGUGUUGACUGGAAAAAAAAAAAAAUCACUUUUACACGAAAAUAUCAUUUCUGUUGUAACAAGCCUCCUGAAAAACAUCCAGCAUUUACAGUAGAGAAUUUGUUUAUCUUGUGAAACAGGUGUUGUUUUGAAACAUCAAAGGGCUCAGUCAAGAUAUGCGAAUUGUAACCUCACAUAAACUUUCAUGGAUGGAGAAAUAAACGUCAAACUUACAUGGGACGAUUAGUAGCAAGAUUUGCUCAAAUUAUUAACAAUACUGAAACAAUUUUGGUAACAUUUGGAACUCACUGCUCAUCUUUUUUUGUAUGAAAGCAUCUGAUCUUUUCCAAGAACAUUAAUUACUUUGUUAAUCUGCUGAUGAAUCAAAACGUUCAAAGCCAUACUAGUUGUCAGCUUGCAAUACUGUAUAUAUGUUUUUUUAUUUUUAGUUUUACGUGAAUGAAUAAACGUAAAAUUAAAGAA